AAUACGGAGGGUGCAAGCGUUAAUCGGAAUUACUGGGCGUAAAGCGCGCGUAGGUGGCUUGAUAAGCCGGUUGUGAAAGCCCCGGGCUCAACCUGGGAACGGCAUCCGGAACUGUCAAGCUAGAGUGCAGGAGAGGAAGGUAGAAUUCCCGGUGUAGCGGUGAAAUGCGUAGAGAUCGGGAGGAAUACCAGUGGCGAAGGCGGCCUUCUGGACUGACACUGACACUGAGGUGCGAAAGCGUGGGUAGCAAACAGGAUUAGAUACCCUGGUAGUCCACGCCGUAAACGAUGUCGACCAGCCGUUGGGUGCCUAGCGCACUUUGUGGCGAAGUUAACGCGAUAAGUCGACCGCCUGGGGAGUACGGCCGCAAGGUUAAAACUCAAAUGAAUUGACGGGGGCCCGCACAAGCGGUGGAGCAUGUGGUUUAAUUCGAUGCAACGCGAAGAACCUUACCUACUCUUGACAUCCUGCGAAUUCGGUAGAGAUACCUUAGUGCCUUCGGGAACGCAGAGACAGGUGCUGCAUGGCUGUCGUCAGCUCGUGUUGUGAAAUGUUGGGUUAAGUCCCGUAACGAGCGCAACCCUUGUCCUUAUUUGCCAGCGCGUAAUGGCGGGAACUCUAAGGAGACUGCCGGUGACAAACCGGAGGAAGGUGGGGACGACGUCAAGUCAUCAUGGCCCUUACGAGUAGGGCUACACACGUGCUACAAUGGUCGGUACAAAGGGUUGCCAACUCGCGAGAGUGAGCCAAUCCCGAAAAGCCGAUCUCAGUCCGGAUCGGAGUCUGCAACUCGACUCCGUGAAGUCGGAAUCGCUAGUAAUCGUAGAUCAGAAUGCUACGGUGAAUACGUUCCCGGGCCUUGUACACACCGCCCGUCACACCAUGGGAGUGGACUGCACCAGAAGUGGUUAGCCUAACGCAAGAGGGCGAUCACCACGGUGUGGUUCAUGACUGG
rnacentral:rRNA from 1 species